rnacentral:snRNA from 1 species
GUUGUCUCUUCAAAUACAUCUAAUAAAUUUGGAAUGAUACAGAGAAAAUUAGAAUGGCCCCAGCCCAAGGAUGAAAUGCACAAAUUGAGAAAUGGUCCAAACUUUU